AUUGAACGCUGGUGGCAGGCCUAACACAUGCAAGUCGAGCGAGCGGCGGACGGGUGAGUAAUGUAUGGGGACUGCCCGAUAGAGGGGGAUAACUACUGGAAACGGUAGCUAAUACCGCAUACUAUCGGAUAACCCAUAUGGGAUUAGCUAGUAGGUGAGGUAAUGGCUCACUUAGGCGACGACCCCUAGAUGGUCUGAUAGGAUGAUCAGCCACAUUGGGGCUGAGACACGGCCCCGACUCCUUCGGAGGCAGCAGUGGGGAAUAUUGCACAAAGGGCGCAAGCCUGAUACAGACAUGCCGCGUGUAUGAAGAAGGCCCUAGGGUUGUAAAGUACUUUCAGUCUGUAGGCGUUACCGACAGAAGAAGCACCGGCUAACUCCGUGCCAGCAGCCGCGGUAAUUC
rnacentral:rRNA from 1 species